CCUCACGCAAGGUUGGGAGUUAUUUCCGUUAGGGUGGCUGGAGCAGCAGCUGCACAUGGCACACGUUAUCCUGCUGCCUCGCCGAGACCCACAACUCCCUUCCCAGUCACUUGCGGGUCUGGGGUGGGGUGUGGAUGGAUGCAGGCACUCAGAUCUUCUUCUCUUAUGCUAUCUGCCAGGGGUGCCUGACCGCUUUGGGCAGCUACAACAAGUACAACAACAACUGUUACAGGGACUGCUUCAUGUUACGUUUCCUGCUUCAUGUUAUGUGCCACCAGCUUUGUGGCUGGCUUUGCUAUCUUCUCUGUGCUGGGCUUCAUGGCACAAGAACAGGGUGUGCCCAUUUCAGAAGUGGCUGAGUCAGGU